AAAACCAAGGACGUGCGCAGUGCAGUGUAUGGUGCACAACACCUAACAAGCAUUUCCUAUUACACCAAACUGUGUUUCAGCGGCGUUUUCCCAAAAAGAGUGGCUCUUCUGACUGAGUGUUUUUCUGACAGGUUUCCUUUUCUGAGCCGCUGGCACAGCUGCAGCCUCGCAGGCUUCAUCUCGCUCCGACACAGCAGCCCUGCCGACACUGUGGCGUGUAGCCUUGCGCCGCAUCUGAGAUGGCCUUUUGUGAUUUCUGCAGUUUAUGUGACAUGAAUAAGAAAUAUCGGGUACAACCCCGUGGAGGACAGCUGAAUGGGCUGUAUGGUUGUCUGGCUUCGGACAGGGGUAACAACAGACCAGAGGAAUGCAAGGCGUAUUUUUAAAAUCGAGGUCCAGCCGCUGGCUUUUCCUGUCAAAGCUAGUGGAGGAAUGUACUAUCCCCCAAAAGGCACACUCUCACACACACACACACACACACACAUGCACACACGCAUGCACGCACACAGUGUGUCUGGGAAGGAGCUGUGCAGCUUUCGGAGCUCAGCAUGAGAGCAUUUGAUAUUCAUAGAAGGGAAGAGGAGGAGAAAGUGAAACAACAGCGGGGGCACUGCCUCACGCGUGAUAUUACAUCGUAAUUAUGAUUUGGAUGCAGGCACUGAGAAAGCAGCGUUGGCGCACGACAAAUGUUGCAAACACGCAGAUACAUAUACCCCCUCGCCGCCCCCACCCUAGGACACACACACAGCAAAGGUGCAGUAAAGGAGCGCACUCAGGAGCCAUGUGGGUGGGGGCGCAUCCUGCAGUUGUUGGGAGAGCGGCGAGAUGAGGUCCGCGUGCAGACUCCUCGCACCUUUCAACAGAGACGUUUUUGUGAUUGGUUUGCUUACCGUCAAUAUUUGCACGUGUCAAUCUUGGCGUCUUUGAGGAAAUUGAUUCUUCAGCAUGAAGCCAAAUGUUCAGAGGAAUCAUUGGUGUUGGCUCCGCCAGGAAAGAGGAAGAGACCAAAAAAAAGUACAUAACAAGCGAGAGAGAGAUUUGAUACAGAAGGUGAGCAUAUGCAAAUAGGAUCAAUAUUUACAGCCAGGCAGCAAAGAAAGACAGCCAGAGAGGGAGACAUUAUGAACUCGCCAACAAUAUUCGGGAAGAGUUGGUUCUUUGCUUUGUGCAUUGGAAACAGGCCAGUGGAAUCUUUUUUAAAUUGGAUUUGUAAAGCCUUUUUUAAAUGACAAAAACAAAGAGUGAGACUAUCAAGGUGCAGAACAAGACACAAAUGAAAAGAGAGAUUUGGGACUUUACGCUAAUAUAACAAAAGAAACAAACACAUGCAUAUGUGAAAAUUACUGAUGCACCAUAAUGCAUUUUGAAAGUUCCUAUGGGAUUUUCCAAUUCGCUUAGUAAAGGAUUUGAGCCGAGAGAAAGCGAGAAAGAAAGAGCUGUCAGACUGCUACGCAGGCACAUCUACUCUGCCUCUUUUAUCAAAGAUAAGUAGUAUUGAUUUACUUCAGGGCUGUAAAAAGUAUUCGUCUUAAGAGCUGACAUUUAAUAAUCUCCAACUAAUCCAUGUUUUGCUGGAGGCCUCUUGAGAUGCUGGUGAGUCCUCUGUUGUUCUUCUGCACCUCCAGGAGCAAGACGCUAUCACCCCCCCCCCCCCCCCCCCCCCCACCCCCCGACUCAUGGCUGUGCGUACGGAAAAACUGCAGAGGUGCAGCAUUUGUUGGAAAGGGGCUGAAGGAAUGCAUCCACUUUUGAGCAAAUAAACCUUGAUUGACCCCAAUGUGGUUUAAUGCGAUUUUCCUGUGGUUGUGAUAAUUGUUUUUAUUUUUAUCUACCCAUAUGUGUGUGUGUGUGUGUGUUUGUGUGAGUUUAGUUGAAAAUAAAGGUGUUAUUGCAUAGCCUUAUCCCCACUUAGGAAACCUUAAUAAAAAGACAAUUAUAAAAUGACAACUUGACCAAGAAAUACUAAUAUACAGUAUAGAGGUGUAUAUAUAUAUAUAUAUUACAACAACAACAACAAUUCAAUGGUUUGACGAUGACAUUGACAUUUCAUUUAAUCAAUGACAAUGUUAUUAAAGUGUGCUGAUAUAAAUCAUACAAGAUAUACACUAACAAAUUACUGUACAUUUUCAAUGGAUUGGAAAACAAUAUCUCACAGUUUUCCAUAAUAACAGUAAAAUACAGUUAAAUGUUCUCUCUUGAACGUAAAUGUAGAGUUAUUGGAAUAUGGAAGAAUAAUGAUGAACCCCUGCUGUCCGAUCUGACACCAUGUGAUCGAAGCCGAGCACGGCACCUUUCCUUUUACAUUCCUUCGGGAUGCCUUGAAAAAACACAACACAUAAUGUGGAACUCAGCUUGACUAGAGCCGUACCAAGAACAUCCAAACAGUUCAUAGGGCCGACUCUGUUACAUUCGCCCCCACGUUGGUUGCAUUAAUGAGAGAUCAUCAACCUUCUGAUCACAUUUCAUUUCAUGAUUACGGUUCCUCUGGGGGUUCAAAAACGAGUUGAUUUUGGAUUAAUAAAUACAACACAGAGGGGAAUCUAAUGGUGAAGUCUGAUUUUAUGAAUUGAAAGUGCAGUCUGAUUUUUAAUAGAAGAAACAAUGUUGACCUUUUACAUCAAACUAACACUGACAUGCACUGUUUCUCUGCCCUGACCAAACCGCCAUCACUCCGCAUCGACUGCACACACCAGGGUGCCAGUGAAGGGCCCGUAGAAUGGUUUUCUCAGCAGGGACUGUAAAACUCCUGUCCAUUCGCAAAGGCUCUUGUGUUUCUCCUGGCUAUCCUCUCAACAGAGGCGCUUCGAAACACAACACCACCAGAUGAGAUGUGAUUUGUGCCACCAUACGCUUCUAUUUUUACUGGGUGGGGCGACACAGAGAGAGAGAGAGAGAGAGCGAGAGAGAUGCAAAAAAAAAAGCACUCACCUGCUGCUUGAUGAGGUCUGGUGGCUUUCCAAGCCUGUGUGGAAGCUGUGUAAUUUUCACCCUAACAUCUGAGGGUUUGAGAGGGAGCACCCGCCCUACUCAAUAGCCCCCCCCGGACCCUCCCCCCUCAGCCAGCCUCGCCCACCUUGCGGCCCCAAAGGCAAGGAAAAACAGUAGAUAAUUACCUGGUGUGAAAUUUCCUGGAGAACUGGGCUGUAGUUGUGAGGACACGUGCUGGGGCUUUUUGUGUUGACGCUUGUGUUGGAGGUGCUCCCCCAGGGGUAAAAGGAGCAAUUCUAAAAAUAGUCUCCUCCUCUUCUCUUAAAAACACGACAGGUAUGAGCCCAUGCUAUGACUUUAAAUCAUAGCAUGGGCAAUUGGUCUGUUAAAACACUAUGCACGUACUUUUAAAAUAACUGUAGCACUGCAAGUUUGAUGAGGUCUGAAAUAUCAAACUACUGAGUAGAAGUGGUGGGCUUGAGAGCUGACAACUCCAACCUUAAGAGUGCGGUAAAAUUGAAAAUACUCCAGAGCUCUCUUAGGUUAGUGGAGAUAACGGAAGUCAGCACAAACCUCGUGAGACAUGUUUUGGAGUUAUUUUACAAGAUAGUUUAUGAUUUAUAAUAACAAACAUUAUGUCAGUAAAGGCAUGUGUUAUUCAGAAAAUGGCAUAUCAAGCCAACUAUUUACAAUUGAUACGAAACUUUGGGUGUGAAAUACACAACUUACUUUUCAUAUCUACUGUGCAAACAACAAGAAUAAAGCUGGCGUAGAUUUGGUUUGUAAUCUCCUUGCAUGUGAUGCCUUUUUCAGGAAACCUUAUUGUGAGCAUGUCUCAAUUAUUUUCUUGGAAUACUGUCAUUUCUCUGUAUGCCGCUGCAGAAUGUCUUUGCGUUUUAGGGUUGAUUUUUCUUCUUUGUUCACAUUGCGAUUUUCUUUGAAUUGUUACCUUCUCCAAGGAGGCACUUGUAGCACAGCCCACGAUGAAGACCAUUCCGUUUUGAAAUAGAUUUACUGUGGCAGUGAGCACAAUCACUUCCAGUGCCUUCUCGUUAUUAUUUUUGUUCAGUAUUUAUCAUUAGUCAAGUAGAUAUUUAUAUUUGGAACAAUUUUCGAUGCUGCAAAUUCUUCUCUCUGGUUGCAUUUGAACUCUUAAAAUGAAACUCUGCUCUUACACCUUGUGUGUACGAGUUGGCGCCAUCUGGCGGUGAAGAUGCAGAUUGCAACCAACUAAAACCUCUCCAACAUGUGUCCAAAAUGUGAAUUUCCAUAUGUAAGCGUGUGGUUCAUCUGUUCUGGGCUACUACGGAACCACGGCAGUGUAACACAGAGCACCACACGGAGAUAUAGACAUCUCGCUCGAAGGUAGCGAACAGACAAAGAAUUCUGUUGUCAGGUAAUUAGAAUGAAAGCUAAAAGUCUCUUUUAUCAAGCAGUUAUUUGGCAGUUUUGCAGAGCAUUUUUGACACAGGUGCUCUAAGUUUCAGCAUCUCCUUCACUUUGUUAAACAAUGAUGUGAACAUUUUGCCGAUGCGUCUCCUAUACAGUUGGGAUUCUCCCCUGCCGUGAAACAUGGUGGGAAUUUCUUCUCAUGCCGUAAAGCACGCAGAGAGUUUCAAGGUCUGGAUGAACUCAAGGCUGGUUUUGCGUGAUCUCCCUCCAUAAACGGCAGGCAUGGGAAUAAGAGGAAAGUAGUGGUGGUUUGGUUUGAGAUGGAGGCUGCAGCAGGAUUAAUGAUCAGAGAGGCAAACUUGGCUUUGGAUUGCAUCACGUAAUCAAUGGCGUUGAGCAACGUGGACGCGGCGAGGUCUCCGAGAGCCGAGACUAAGCCCUUUCAUUUUUCAACAAGACGGAGGGCCCCUAGCUGCCAAGCGUACAAGGUGAACCACCACGUGGACCCGGGUUGAAUGGCAAGGGCCUUCAUGCAGUUAAAUGAUUUUGUUAAUCGGAUGAGUCAAAUGCUCGUGUCUCUGUGAUAUGUCACCGACUUUUUGGGCCUUUGACUUGGAUGAGGUAGAUCUUAAGGAUAGAGAGAACAGGAAAAUCAUAAACGCUGCGUCAAGCUUGGCACGAGAAUAAAAAGAAAUUCUGUUACAAAGAAAACACAAAUAAUACAAACGACAAGGGUUAUCAAGUAAAACAAAAGCACAUUUAUAAAUAUUCUGGUUCUGUUGUGUCUUUGUGAGUUGUUACGAAGCACAUUUCCAACACAGCAAGGGUUCAUUUUUUUUUCUAGAUUUCAAAGACGCUUUGAUUGACAUGUUGGUUUGUUGCCGGUGUUUAAUUGUAUUUUCAAAGAUCUCUCUGGGAUCACAAGGUUGACUACUUGCUGUGUUUAUCAUGUUGCGUUUCCUUCGCACAUGCCUUUGAUCAGACUUCUUUUGCUUUGGUUUUUACUUUAUUUUUUAAAUGGUUGUUUGCAACUGCUAGACUUUUUAUCAGUGUGUGAUACGGCUCUAAUCAAACAUAAUGGCAAACAUGUUAAUGUUAUACAAUGACAUCUCUUUUAGGCACAUAUCAAUUUUAAUGGGUUAUACAUUUGUUGAUUCGGGUCUUUCAUAUUUUUUUAAAAUUUGAAAUAAUUUUUUCACUUUAUACUCCAUGUUUGGAAGUUGUUUGUAUUGUGUUUCACAAGGAGGGACUCAAACCAAAAAACAAAGCGCGUUUGACUUUUGACUCCGGAUGCACUUAAACAUGUGAAUAUUGAGGAUACAUGUAACACAAUUCAUUUCAUAAUCAUAAAAUAGUGAUUAUUUUCAGUGAAUUAGACCAUAUGCAAAUGAACAAAGGCUUUUUCACACAAGCGUACAUCACCUGCAUUGUGCUGAGAUAAGCUCUCACAUUGUGAAUACGAGCCUUUCAUUUACAACGAAUUUGUAAUCUACCACAGAUACAUUACGAGAUCUCCACUCUGGAUUUAUGAACAGAUUAGGACUGAAUGGACCUUCGCUAAAAGAGAUUCUUUAGCAUUUCCUGACAUCUGUUUUAUCUUGAGACAUGACCUUUGGCUGAGCAAGAGGUCUUAACCUUUAUAUAACUAUCUUUACGUGGGCCUGUAUUUGCUCAUGGGGGUGUGAUCUACAACACGCACUCGGAAGUUGAGCUUGCAUUUGAACUUGAAAAUCAUAUAUGAAGAAGGUCUGAUGUCUAUACACAGCACUGCUGCUUCAUGACCUCUGACUUAGUGCAUGAUCUUUCUUUCUUUUUUUGUCUAAACUUGAAUGUAAGAACUAACGGGAAAACACUGGGAGGUGCAAAUCUUUUCUGUAUCAAAGUUAUCCUUAAUCUAAUUACUAGUCCCUAGAACACAGAAUAACAUCAGCGUCGAGCCUCAGCCUCCUGGAGCUUACUCUACUAGUCGAUCUUCAUAUGUGACCAUCAUUUACUAAAACAUUACGCUGUAUUGGACUCAUGGUCACAUGUGGAGUGAGAAGUAGAAUCAUGUUCUCAGUCCAAGUGUAAGAAUGCAGGUUUGAGGCACUGAAAACAGAUGCUUGUGAAAACAACACGGAUGAGAUUGUAAAUAUAAAUGUACAAUUCAAGUUCUGAAUUGUUUCAAUUGAAGUUAAUAAUAAGCAUUCAAAAUGUCAUUCAUCAAAACCUGGUGAAUGUAUUUCAUGUAGUAGCUGUCCAAUUUCUUGCUUAAACAUUAGCUUUUGUGUAAAGAGAGCCGACAGAUUUUUUGGAACAGUUGUAUUGGAUUGUUCUUCAUAGCAACAAUCUUACAACUAGAUCAAUGAAGAGUUGUCAAACAGAAAUUGUUUAUUACAGCCGUCUUGAUCACUAUAUUCUUUUGAAUUGUUCAGUUCGAGCUGUACUAGUUUCACUAAGUCAUCCUGCCAUCGUUGGUUUUCGACCCAUGCAAGUGUGGCACAGAAGGUCAAUCCAACAAAAUCCCUUUCAGCCUCAACUUGUUCUUUUCAUACAGCCAACUGCCUUCCCGCCGGGUCACGGUCGUGAUGGAGCGGGCCUUUAGCUUGAGUCGGGGCUGACCUCACAAAAGAAAAACUGUCACAAACUAAGUUGUCUCCCUGUAUGCAGCUUCCCGAAAAACGCGUGAUCAAUCGAGCUGACUCAAGCGUUUUUCGCGAGCGCGAUCCUCAGUCGGCGAGUGUCAGCGCGUGAUUAUACCUCCAUCUAUCAUUGUGAUGGGACGAAGUAUUGGCUCCCCGUGACAGACUCUGAGGAAUAGGACUCGACUUCAAGGCAGACUUCACUGGAUCAGCAGUCUGGAGCGUUCACGGGAGACGACGGGGGCGGCUCAGCCAUUCCCUUAUCCUCUCAAGAAACCUCUUCAUUUAGGGUCCAGGGUUUUGCUCUCCAUCCAUGACACAAACUGCUGGUGCCCGGCUGUCGCUGGUGGUACGAUGAGGAGAGGUUCAUACAGCAGCAUUAAACCCCCCCCCCCCAGAGAUAAGGUAAGUAUCUCAAAUACACACAUCAAGCUGGAUGGCAACAGUCUGUGGCUCCGUCUUCAGGCAUUACGCUGUACACACUAUGCAACACUUGUGAAUUGUAAAUCCAUUUUAAUUAUCCUCUGCAGCUACCACUUUGUUUUUUUUGACUUAAGAGGAAUGAGUACGAGCGGACAGGAAGUGAAUCCCUCCCACACCCCCCAACAAUUGACCCUAAUCAAAUGACCCAUCCUCAGUAGUCUAUUGUUACAAUUAGAAGUUAGUGCUGACCCAUUGGCAGCUGUUGUCUAUUUUCCUUUAAUUUGUUGUAACUUGGAAGGGAUCGACUUAACGCCUCGUCCGACAGGAACACGUUCUGCCGAUAUGGAUCGUGGCGAGGUCAGCUUCAUGGAUGCUGAGCGUUUGACGACCCGCUCCUCUUCCUCACCAUUAUUGGAGACGCGGUGACUUUAAGAGGAAGGAGGCGCGCUCGUUUUCUCUCGCGUUCGCAGCCAGACGCCGCUGUCCGUCAGUCCGGAGCGAUGAGGCUUUUCUAACCCGCCAUUUGCACGGGGACUUCAUUUGAAUAACAGCCAAAGAAAAAAAAAAUUGUCUGAUUAAAUUACAUGUUUCACUGAAUCUUAAUUGCUUUUUUGUGAACCUGCUUAUGCGAUCUGAUUUGCAAUUUUCAGUGGGAAUGGUAUUGUAUUACUUUGAAUAUCAAGGAAAGUCAGACAGGGAAACACGCUUCCAUCCAUUUGCUCUUGAACUUUCAAUGUCAUGAUAUGUACAGUAGUUCAAAGGAGUCAAGGAUUACAAUUGUCAAAAAACUUAAAUUGUCCUUUUCAAAAAUUAGCAUUAACACUUUUUUUCACUGAAAUUGUCGGAAAAAAAGUAAUCCCUUCGAGAUGAGUAUGAAAAGACUUUGCUACUCGGUCCAGGCCGUGUGAAAGUUUUGCCGUCCACACAACGGUCGACCCCAUAGUGGAGGUGUGAUGAAUAGAUGAGCAACUCUCCCGCCAUCAUCUGCCGCCUAAAAUGCAUAAUCAGCUGUAAUUAAUCGAACAAAGUGAUUAAUCACAUCACGCUCCCUAUCUGUUUGCAUGCAACCUGUCAUAAUCAAUUAUUUAUGGGAUAAAUCGUGACUCUGGAGAUGGAGGUGGCAGGAGCGGAGCGGGGCGCCUGAUGAAGACUGAUGACAGCCCCAAACAUGGGACAUGACAGUGGGAACAUGGUGGAGAUUGAAUCCGUAACCCUCCAAGCACAUCAUAAAUUAUCUCUUUCAGAAUAAAAUGAUUGAUUUGCAUCGCUCUGCGCCGCACCUGGAAUUGCUGCCCUUCACAGGAGCGGACCAGGUGGCCCGAACGCUACGCUGCGGCUAAGAUAAUGAGCUAACGCUGGAGAAAGAAAACAGUGUGAGCUGUGCUGUCUGAAGGCGGGCGUCCUUGAAGAAUCCCGCUGGAGAUGUUUAGACCCAAGUGGAGGUCUGUAAUUGUAUCUGUACAUUUCUGUGACUGUCAGCUCACCGCGGAUUCGUUUCGCAACGCCUGACAAGACAUUUGGCGACGGGUGAGAAGUUAUCUGAAGCUGUAAUAUUUAACUUUUGCACAUUGUCAGCUUUAACUUUUGCACGUUGUCAGCCUCUACGGAGGUGAGUGACGGUGGAGAUGCAAGAUAGAUGUCAGAGUUGAAGGCUUUUUUAAAUAUAUACAGUAUAGUGAGACUAUUGUUGGGAAGCGUGCCGGACAGCAUUAAACACUGGUGUAAAUGUGCAGGCUCUGCUUUUCUUAUUGGCAUUUAAAGGAAACAUGUGGAACACACAGCAGAGUGUUUUAUACACAAAAUAUGUUUUCAUUCUGCCAAUUUGCUUCAUGAGAUGGAUUUCAGAGGAAAUAUGUUAAUGACACCUUCUCCUUCUGAUUCAUCAUGCGUCCCAUCGACAUGAUGGAACAGAUGAACCAAAUUCCCAAAAUGAUAAGAUCUGCAUGAUUAUGAACUUCAUCUCUAUUGUAGUCACUGGAAAUGCACAGUAGUUGCAUACAGAUGACAAAACAAGAAUUCGUUAGAGUAGAAACAUUGCUGAGAAGAACAUUGACCAUGCUUAGAGCUCCCACAACACAACCACAACCCCCCCCCCCCAGUACCCCAACAGACCAGUUAAUUAAGGUGACUAUGAAUGUGACACAGUCACAUGAUGGACUGGGACACUGUAAUGGCGAUCCAAACUCCCACAUAUUUAGACUUAUGUGUAUGUUGCUCGGUUCCUGUGAUCUACAGAGGAGGGAAAUGCAAACGUUCCGGGGAGCGAGACGGAAGCGAGGGUCUGGCCGAGCCCGGUCAGCAGCCCUGUGGCUCGGCCAUCACAGCAGGUCAACACUCAGGGCGAAUCAGCGCCGGCGACACUGUCAUGUGGUAUCGGUACCUGCGUCCCUCACACGAACUUCAAAACAAGCCCCCAAACACCGGUAUUCACCAUGUGACACACACACAUAUGCACACACGUGCCACAUGACUACAGAGGAGCGUGGGGUGAUGGGUAGCCGUGGCAGGUGACAGAGCGUGCUGCAUGCUCAGACAAAUGGAGUCUGGCAGCUCCCCGUCAGGAAGACUGGAGGCUGUUUUUUUUAUUUUUUAUUAUUAUUACUGCCUGAGUGACUGAAUGCGUCUGCUUUUUACCAAACAUUCAUUGUUUACCUCUGUUCUGUUCAGUCUCACCUCAGAUGACAAGCCAUCCGUGGAGAGCCACUUCCUUUUUCAUUCCCUCCCUCUCUUCCUCCUGUCUUUCAUCCCCUCUGCGCUCUUCCAUCCCUCUUGCUGCUACAUUGCUCUACCAGCCUUCCUGCCACAAUGGUGGGUGACUUUUCAUACCGACAUGGUGCUGAGCUUUCUCACACGGAAGUUCAUUGUUGUAUAAUUACGUCUGGCAAAGCUGGCGGCGAAACCUCUGGGAAGGACCGUGUGAUUGAACAGUGCCUGUCUGUGUUUAGAUUAAGAUGAAACAGUUGCUGGGACGUGUGAGAGGAGUGGAAUGCAUUGGGAUAAGGACUUCUAACGUUUGACUUCACAUUAAACAUGGCUUGCCCUGCUGAAAUAUUAUUGUGAAAUUGAGAACGUCACUUUCUGCGUGGGACAUUUGCCUGCAACAGACUGCGUCUUGAACUGAAUGAGUCACAUUCCACCUACACUGACUGACAACUAAAAGUUUGGUUGAUUGGUUUUUGUUCUUUGAACAUUUGGUUUUCUCUUCGGGUUGAACUACCUUGAAUUUAAAAUUCCUGAUAGUGGCUUUAUUAAACUAAUGAAAAGCAUCCACCAGUUUUGGUCUUCCGUCCUCUGUGUAAAGCUGCAGUCGCUGAGACAGUGAUGAUCCUAGCGAUUUACGUCCAUCCGCUAUUAAGGAAGCUUAAGGAAACUUAUGGUAGAGAUUUGCGCUUUAAGAAAAACAUUCUUAGAAAAUACUCAGUCUUUACCAAUGAGAUCAAUUGUUGUGUUGUAACAAAGGCUUUAAUCAAUGUUGCAUUCUUAAUUUCUGUCAAGUACAGAGAAACCAAUAAAAGCGCCGCUUGCAGACAACAUUCGGGACAUCGGGUACAUACAUCGGGUAAAUGGUGUUUGUAACCAUUUGCAAGUAAGGGGUUUAAUGCUGCCAUCAGAAAAGAUCCGGAUCCCACAGCGGGCUUAUGCCAGACUGCGAGCGGACUGAUUCAUCUCAUCUGCAGACUUUGAAUGACUCUUCUCUAAAACACAGGUGCUGCAGGAAAGACUGUAAAGGUCCAUAACCUUGGUCACAUCGUAAUGCCAGAGACGAGAGGCCUUUUGAUAUGUCCGUGCAGGCAACACAUCACGGUGUCCCGCGACGGCCGGCGAACAUAACGCCAGUGAACGUAGACGAGUGUAUUGAUUUGUAGUAAGCCUCUGGACAAACAAGCCUUUCUUUGGGUUGUCAGCAUAUCGAUACGCGCAAGCAAGACUUUAUUGACAGUCCUUGACAUUCCUGAUCUUAUAAACUUUCAACCACAAAUCCCUCUGGUGGCAAAGUCAUCUUUAUGAGGGCCGCUCAACAGAUACCCCCGUAUGUUUGUUCUCUGUUUCUAGUGUGUGUGUGUGUAAAUGACUUGUCGUGGUUGGCUUUCUGUCAGAGGGGAGGGAAUUAAUCCGUCUAACAAUUCUAGUCAAUGAAAAACCAGCGUCAACCAAACAGUCACAUUAAUUGAUGGGACACUCCGCCAGGGGUUAAUAAGGCAGACACAUCAUCGCCUUUUGGAGUGAUGUUAUAAUUGUGUUAGCAAACACAAGUUUGCUCCCAAUCAAUAAUCCUCCCUGAGUCGGUGCUCCUCAACAUCUGACAACAAAGCAGGUAGGAACCUUCACAGCAAGCGGCAACAGAACAAGUUAAUCCGGCCUAAAAAAUAUCUUCACCGAGUCUUUCUAAUGUCUCUUUCCUCCAACUGAGAGAUGUAAUAGCUUGCUGACUCAGCGGGCCAAGCCUUAAACAAAAAAAACAAAAAGCAGCAGUUUGGGCCAAGACUGGCCACCAACUGUCAAACGGCAUCUACGUGAAGCUGCUACAGUAAAACAGUGGGCGCGGAAUCAUGCAUUACUGUAUUACAGCUGUAGCAAAUUUCAUCUCAGGGUUCCCAGAAUGGAUUUAAUUGAACAUUUCUGGGAUAUUUUCAAAGACCCAGAACAAAUGUGAGAGGAUCACUACUGGGAAUAAGAAUAUUUUCAAGGAAGUAUCUUUUAAAAUAGGAACAGUGACAAAGUGACCAGUCCAGCAAUAUUUAGAUCUUAUCUGGUGAUGUUCAAAGGAUACAUGUUUAGACACCUGAGUGUGUUGAAACAACACGUGACAUGCAAGUUCCACCUUUUAUGGCUGCCCUGCCGUCAGUGUAUGCAUGUGUGUGCGUAUUGACAUCACACCACUAACAUAAUACAGUUUGUAUGUUUAUACCUGUGAACCUCGCCACAGAUAGGAAUGAAGAUGUAGAGAUGUUGUUGUUUUUGUUUUUGGACAUAUCCAAAAAAGUAACUGAGAGCAGCUCAAACCGUUUCAACUUUAGCAGCCAGCUGAGAAGCGUUCAGCAGAGAGUUGAUGGUGGGUCAUUAGACAUUAUCAUCUUCACUGCCAGACAAAAGGACAAUUGUGUCAAUUGAAUUUUUCUCUGGAUGGAUGCACCGUUCUCGCUGCCUUUUACCUUUAAUUUCCCCGCAACAGUAGAGUUGAUCUUAGUUCUCUGGGGGAACGUUGGAUUUUUCUUCUCUCUCCAAAGCCACCUUAAAAUCAAUAAAAACGUGCUAUUAUCAGAUGUUUGGUGUCAAAUUUGUCUGAUGUACCUUGUCCUGCAGUCAUUCAUAUCACUUCAGUGGACACCGCCCCAGUGGGACAGUAGGUGGAAAAAGCUGUAUCUUAUCGGAUCCAAGUGGACCACCUGCUUAGUAAAACUAAACCGAGGCAUUCUUUAUCCUUGGGACACCUGGAGAAGGUCCUCCAUGUUUUUUUUUUUCACCACUUGGAUUACUGUGACUCACUCCUCACUGCAAUUUCUGGAAAGGGUCACUUCCCCCCUUACAACUCCUCCAACAUGCUGCAGAAAUGCCUCAAGUAUAAAUGAUCUCUGCUGCAGCUACCUGUGAGUUUCAGAAUUUAUUUUUUAAGAUUCUACUUUCAUGGCUCAGUUGGCUAUGUCCCUCGGCUGAUUCACAAUCCUUGGAAGUCCUGUGCAAGCCUGAGUGCAGGUUGAGCUCCUCGGGCCGGCCCCUUUCGGCUGUAACAAGGUCUGGAUUGAAAGAAUACAUUUUAAUUUUCCAUUAGCAAGAAUCCAAGUGUUAAAGCGGGUUGUCCGGUGUUCGUGUUUCACUUGAUCCACUGAAUCCAGUAAGGGCAGUAAUAGAGGAACCAGUCAGGAGGGCCGUGCACAUUUUUAUUUAGUUAUGAAUACAAUAGUGCUUUAUCAUGUCUACACUUGAACACUGCGGGCAAACCUUUUUAUUACAGGUCGUUAUUUACACGUUUAAUGUUGGUCCAGAAAAGAUCACAGCAAAUUGCUUCUUCAACGCUGUAAUUUUUUCCCUUUUGUUAUCAAUCCAAUGAUUAAAUAAUAAAACAUAUCCUCCGUUCCCAUCUCAAGAAUUGGCAGGAGAGAUGUACUAAUGAAAAGAGACGGAAUAUCUCAGAUCUCAGUUCCGGACUGUUGCCUCGCCUUUCUUGGGCCAUGUUAAAGCAAAAUGGAAUGAUGAAUUUGGUGAGAAAAUAUAAUAUGAGAUCGGAGUUCUCCAUUGAAGUGAUCCAUAAAACCUUUAUUUCGGUAUUGGCCAAUAUUGAUUGGAUUCUGGGUUGUGGGUGUUGAAACCUUUUUCAACAUCUGUAAUGUGAAUUUCUCUGGAGGCCAAUAAGAUUCAGCGACUUUUAUUUUUUUUCACAAGAGUUCUCCUUCUGUACAGUGGAAAUGCAGCCUUCUAUAAAUAUGCCAGCUGAUUUAAUUUUUGUGCUCCUUAACAUCUUUGCUAUAGCAGAAGCAAAAUCAAACUCAUUGUAUUUUCAGAAGCUGAUAAAUGUAGGUGGAUUGAAAUAGUCUGUGUCAAUGUGAAAGAUGUUUAAGAUGUCAAGAUUUGUCAUGAAAUUAAAACAGUAGUUGUUUUUUCUCAGACGUCCACUGACCCCGAACAUCCACCUUGGUUUUAACGAAGACGCUCCAUGUACAACUACUUUAAACACAAAUGAGGUGCGUACAUUAUGUACGUGACUGUAGUUGGGUAAUGUUGUUCAACCUAUUGAUUUGACUUUUAAUUAGAGAGUCAUAGUUUAAUCUGGUCUCAUCAAGCAUUCGUAACAAUACUUACUAAAAACAAUUCAGAAUGUUGAUAUUCCUCAAAGAUCUUUUGUAUGUUAUACGCAUAAUCUUAUCAAGUAUAAGACCGUUAAACCACACACCGGGUGAACUGCGUUCAAUUUCUACAUUUACUUUAAUUUAUUAC
ensembl:lncRNA